AGCAGCCGCGGUAAUUCCAGCUCCAAUAGCGUAUAUUAAAGUUGUUGCAGUUAAAAAGCUCGUAGUUGAAUUUCGGGGUCAGCAGGUUGGUCGUGCCACUGGUAUGUACUGGCUUUGCUGAUUCCUCCUUCUUGUAGAACCGUAAUGCCAUUAAUUUGGUGUUGCGGGGAAACAGGACUGUUAACUUUGAAAAAAUUAGAGUGUUUAAAGCAAGCUAACGCUUGAAUACAUUAGCAUGGAAUAAUGAAAUAGGACGUUUGAUCCUAUUUUGUUGGUUUCUAGGAUCGACGUAAUGAUUAAUAGGGAUAGUUGGGGGCAUUAGUAUUCAAUUGUCAGAGGUGAAAUUCUUGGAUUUAUUGAAGACUAACUACUGCGAAAGCAUUUGCCAAGGAUGUUUUCAUUAAUCAAGAACGAAAGUUAGGGGAUCGAAGACGAUCAGAUACCGUCGUA
rnacentral:rRNA from 1 species